rnacentral:rRNA from 1 species
GACGAACGCUGGCGGCGUGCUUAACACAUGCAAGUCGAACGGAAAGGCCCUGCUUUUGUGGGGUUCUCGAGUGGCGAACGGGUGAGUAACACGUGAGUAACCUGCCCUUGACUUUGGGAUAACUUCAGGAAACUGGGGCUAAUACCGGAUAGGAGCUCCUGCUGCAUGGUGGGGGUUGGAAAGUUUCGGCGGUUGGGGAUGGACUCGCGGCUUAUCAGCUUGUUGGUGGGGUAGUGGCUUACCAAGGCUUUGACGGGUAGCCGGCCUGAGAGGGUGACCGGCCACAUUGGGACUGAGAUACGGCCCAGUCUCCUACGGGAGGCAGCAGUGGGGAAUAUUGCACAAUGGGCGGAAGCCUGAUGCAGCAACGCCGCGUGCGGGAUGACGGCCUUCGGGUUGUAAACCGCUUUCGCCUGUGACGAAGCGUGAGUGACGGUAAUGGGUAAAGAAGCACCGGCUAACUACGUG